ensembl:rRNA 5S_rRNA 5S ribosomal RNA
GUCUAUGGCCAUACCACCCUGAGCGUGCCUGAUCUCGCCUGAUCUCAGAAGCUAAGCAGGGUUGGACCUGGUUAGUUCUAUCCUCAGCCUGAAGAAUGGUGCCUCUGUUG